rfam:Stereum hirsutum FP-91666 SS1 unplaced genomic scaffold STEHIscaffold_17, whole genome shotgun sequence.
GGGCGUUUAGCGCAGUGGUAGCGCGUGCGCUUUGCAUCGCCUAAUGACCGCCAAUCCAGAUUGGUUGAUGAUGGAGAUAGCUUGCGCAAGGCCAUGGGUUCAAUCCCCAUAUCGUCCA